UAGGGAAUCUUCCACAAUGGGCGAAAGCCUGAUGGAGCAACGCCGCGUGUGUGAUGAAGGCUUUAGGGUCGUAAAGCACUGUUGUAUGGGAAGAAAUGCUAGAAUAGGGAAUGAUUCUAGUUCGACGGUACCAUACCAGAAAGGGACGGCUAAAUACGUGCCAGCAGCCGCGGUAAUACGUAUGUCCCGAGCGUUAUCCGGAUUUAUUGGGCGUAAAGCGAGCGCAGACGGUUGAUUAAGUCUGAUGUGAAAGCCCGGAGCUCAACUCCGGAAUGGCAUUGGAAACUGGUUAACUUGAGUGUUGUAGAGGUAAGUGGAACUCCAUGUGUAGCGGUGGAAUGCGUAGAUAUAUGGAAGAACACCAGUGGCGAAGGCGGCUUACUGGACAACAACUGACGUUGAGGCUCGAAAGUGUGGGUAGCAAACAGGAUUAGAUACCCUGGUAGUCCACACUGUAAACGAUGAAUACUAGGUGUUAGGAGGNUUCCGCCUCUUAGUGNCGAAGCUAACGCAUUAAGUAUUCCGCCUGGGGAGUACGACCGCAAGGUUG
rnacentral:rRNA from 1 species